rnacentral:rRNA from 1 species
ACCGGAGGUAGAGCACUGAAUUGUCUAGGGGGCUUCACAGCUUACCGAAACAUAUCAAACUCCGAAUGCCGGAUAGAUGAUGAUCAGGAGUCAGACCAUGGGAGAUAAGUUCCAUGGUCAAAAGGGAAAGAGCCCAGACCACCAGCUAAGGUCCCAAAGUGUGUGUUAAGUGGAAAAGGAUGUGGGAUUUCGAAGACAACUAGGAUGUUGGCUUAGAAGCAGCCAUACAUUCAAAGAGUGCGUAAUAGCUCACUAGUCGAGAGGUCCUGCGCCGAAAAUGUCCGGGGCUAAAACACACCACCGAAGCUGUGGAUUGAUGCGUAAGCAUCAGUGGUAGAGGAGCAUCGUUAACGAGUUGAAGCUGUACCGUAAGGAGCAGUGGAUUGUUAACGAGAGAGAAUGCCGGAAUGAGUAGCGAGAGAGAAGUGAGAAUCUUCUCGGCCGAAUAUCCAAGGUUUCCAGAGUAAAGCUGAUCUUCUCUGGGUAAGUCGGGACCUAAGGUGAGGGCGAAAGCCGUAGCCGAUGGACAACUGGUUGAGAUUCCAGUACCGCAUAUGAACAGAACUGUGGGGACGCAGAAGGAUAGGAAGAGCCAGGAAUGGAAAACUGGUGCAAGCGCAAAGGCUGUGUGGCAGGCAAAUCCGCCGCACUGAGGCUGAAGCGUGACGCGGAGCGAAUAAAGUAGUGAAGCUUCCGAAUCCAAGCUGCCAAGAAAAGCCGCUAUUGUUUCAUAUGUGCCCGUACCGUAAACCGACACAGGUAGAUGAGGAGAGAAUCCUAAGGCCGACGGGAGAAGCGUUGUUAAGGAACUCGGCAAAAUGACCCCGUAACUUCGGGAGAAGGGGUGCCUGCUUAGGCAGGCCGCAGAGAAUAGGCCCAAGCGACUGUUUAGCAAAAACACAGGUCUCUGCAAAACCGAGAGGUGAAGUAUAGGGCUGACGCCUGCCCGGUGCUGGAAGGUUAAGGGGAAUGGUUAGCACUUGAUGCGAAGCUAUGAACUUAAGCCCCAGUAAACGGCGGCCGUAACUAUAACGGUCCUAAGGUAGCGAAAUUCCUUGUCGGGUAAGUUCCGACCCGCACGAAAGGCGUAACGAUUUGGGCACUGUCUCGACAACGCGCCCGGUGAAGUUGUAGUACCGGUGAAGAUGCCGGUUACCCGCGACAGGACGGAAAGACCCCAUGGAGCUUUACUCUAGCUUGAUAUUGGGAUUCGAUAUUACAUGUACAGGAUAGGAGGGAGGCUAUGAAGCGAGAACGCCAGUUUUCGUGGAGCCGCUGUUGGGAUACCUCUCUUGUAGUAUUGGAUUUCUAACCAUGCACCCUCAACGGGUGUUGGGACACUGUCAGGUGGGGAGUUUGACUGGGGCGGUCGGCUCCGAAAGGGUAUCGGAGGCGCUCAAAGGUCCUCUCAGAAUGGUUGGAAAUCAUUCGCAGAGUGCAAAGGCAUAAGAGGGCUUGACUGUGACACCGACGGGUGGAGCAGGUACGAAAGUAGGACUUAGUGAUCCGGUGGUA